rnacentral:rRNA from 1 species
UACAGAGGUGGCAAGCGUUGUUCGGAAUUACUGGGCGUAAGCGCGUGUAGGCUGUCUCGCAAGUCGGAUGUGAAAGCCCUGGGCUCAACCUAGGAAGUGCACUCGAAACUGCGAGACUUGAGUCCCGGAGAGGAAGGCGGAAUUCUCGGUGUAGAGGUGAAAUUCGUAGAUAUCGAGAGGAACACCGGUGGCGAAGGCGGCCUUCUGGACAGUGACUGACGCUGAGACGCGAAAGCGUGGGGAGCGAACAGG